GAAGCUGCUGCUGAGUCACUCAAGAUGAAGACAGAACUCAUCACUGGAGUCACUCAGGCAGCCUUGAGAGUGGACCCUUGGCCACUGUUCAGGGCAAGGAGGGGCCUCCACGUCUGAGUUCGAGCAGCCCCCAUAGUGGCCAGAGUGUGAAAACUUUUCCCAAAGCAAACCCAGCUGAUCUACUAAACUCCUCCCCGGGCACCCUGGUUGGUAUCUUCUCAUCUUGGGCUCAUGACUUCGUUCGUCCUUUCCUCAGCUUCUUUACCUGCUAACAAAUACA
rnacentral:lncRNA from 1 species